GUAGCUCCAAAUUGCAAUGGCAAAUUCACCUGUAGUGUGGUUAGCAUCGGUGUGCCUUGUGUUCAAUAUCUUGUCCCUUCCAUUCCUAGCAUUGGGCUUAUCUUCUUGUGGUGGCUCAUGUCAAACACUUAAUGACUGUGAAGGUCAGCUCAUUUGCAUCAAUGGUAAAUGUAACGACGAUCCCGAGGUCGGGACUCACAUAUGUGGAGGAAACUCGAGUACCCCUUCCCCUCCAUCCCCCAGUACCUGCCAGCCCUCGGGAACUCUUGCGUGCAAGGGCGGAAAACCCAAAAAUACCUACACAUGCUCUCCUCCGGUCACCUCCUCCACGCCUGCCGUUCUAACUAACAAUAAUUUUGAAAAAGGAGGAGACGGUGGAGGCCCAUCCGCUUGCGACAACAAAUACCAUGACAAUUCAGAGCGCAUCGUAGCAUUGUCAACUGGGUGGUAUAAUGGGGGAUCCCGGUGUGGAAAGAUGAUCAGGAUAACGGCUCAAAAUGGGAGGAGCGUGUUGGCCAAAGUGGUGGAUGAGUGUGACUCCAUGCACGGCUGUGACAAAGAGCAUGCAGGUCAGCCCCCCUGUGAUAAUAACAUAGUUGAUGGAUCUAAUGCUGUGUGGAAUGCUUUGGGGCUGGAUAUCAAUAUUGGUGAAGUGGACGUUACUUGGUCCAUGGCUUAGGUAUAUGGUUGGUUGGUUACUCGGUUUUUGUGUGUACGUACGUACCCUCCUCUUUGUGUUCCCCUCUCUAUUUUGGUUUGUAUGGCUCCGCCAAGCACUAUUUUUAUGUAAUUUUGCAGCAAUAUAUGCAUGCACUGAAAUAAAACUGGAAGGCACUAGCCCAGUGCCACCAGAACCCCAUUAAGUGGUUUGAUUAAUGAAGAGUGAUUUGCGUCACGAUCUACUUGAACCAUCACAUUGAUUAUUAAUGCAACGCCUAAACUACAUCAACUUCCAAUGAGUAUUUUAUAUUAAUUUGACAUUGAGAUUCACCUUAUAUAUAGCAAUACUGAUCUUGGGAAAAUACAUAUUUUAAAAUUAAAAAGUUGUAAAAUCGAAAGAAACUUAAAAAGUAAAAAGAAAGAAAAGAAAAGAACAUAGAAGGUCUUAUCUAAUGGGUGGUACUAGAUCACUUUGAUGAGGUCGCAGUGAAGAAAUUAACAAGAUCCCCAGGAAAGAGAUGCUGUGCAAUAAGAAAUAUCAUCCUGGAACCCAAAUAUAAAAAGCCCCAUGGAGUUAUUGACGGGUACAUCAGUCAUAUAUAUACAUAUAUAAUACUUUGUCUUGAUCUAUACUUUUCAACAGUUUUUCUAUUAUUGUCUAUCCUAAUACAAGAUAAUUUAACUGAUAAAAGCCUAAGUGCCUUAUACCUAAACCAGAUUUCAUAUCUAUUUAUCUAUUAAAUAAUUUAAAAUAAAAUAAAAUAAUUAAAGUUAGAACACAAAUUAACUCUGAGAUAUGGAACUUAAAUGUUGAUUUUGUCACUUACUAGUCCAUAUUCAAAGUUGGGUUGUAGAAACCCAAUCUUGAUUAGUUGAAUUAAAAAUCAAUAAUUAGGGAAGAUAAAAAAAAACCAAUCAACACACAAAAUAAAAUAUUUUUAACAUGGAAAACUUUCAUGCAAUAUGAAGAAAUAAAAAGUCAGAAGUCAUAAACUUCAAAUCUACAUCUAUUAUAUGAGAAUACAAUACACACUUUUAUCUAGCAGAUUGCAUUUGAAUCUCAUCUUAGCGCUUAAAAUGAUGCAAAUCUCCUUCACAAUCCAACAAAGACAAACAUGAACACUUCCUUGAAAGCUUUAAGAAUAAGAAGACAAAUUACAUUUUCCAGCUAGAAAAACUAAGCCAAAAACCUUUUUGAGUAAGGUAUAUGUACGCCCACAGACUUAGUGGACCAAUUCUCAAAAAAUCCUCAUGCAAUUUAAAUCCUUUAAAAUUGGAAAGAGAAAACUUUAGAAUUCUAGAGGAUUCUAUGUCGAGUGCUCAAGCACCCUCAUAUAGGGAUGACAACGGGGUGGGUUCGGGACAGGUCGCCCCCAUCCCAACCCCACCCCGUUUAUUCGAAAUAAUUCUCAUUCCCAUCCCAUUUAAAAAAUUAAACGGGAUGGGACGGGCCGAGGCGAGUAUGAUAAAUUUUCAUACUUGUCCUGUUUAACUUUUUUUUUUUUUUAAUUUUUUUUAAAAAAAUUACUUUUAAAUUUUUAAUUAUAUUAAAAUAAAUAUAUUUUAUAAAUAAUUAAAUUAUUAUAUUUUUUAUAACUUAUUUUAUUAAAAAUAUUUUAUUAUUAUCUAUAUAUUAAAAAUAAUAAAAUAAAAAUUAAAUUAAAUUAAUUUUAAAUUAUAAAUUAAAUUAAAUUUAAAAAUUAAUUUUAUAUAUAAUCGGAGCAGGGCUGGGUGGAGUGGGGCAAUACCCGAACCAGUCCCGAGUUUUUAAAAAAAUUCUCAAACUCAUCACAAACCUAUUUAUUAAAAUUAAACUCCGUCCCAUUAGAGACGGGACGAGGCGGGUACCCGAAUAAACCCGCCCCAUUGCCAUCCCUACCCUCAGAGCAUUUGAGUGCUUCUCAAGCAUUGAAUCCAGGCUUCAAGGUUCAUGUAGUUUUUAAACCCUAAAAAAAAAUUCAUUUUGAUCAAUUUUAAAAACUCGAUGGAUGUCAUGCUACACCAACUACUAAUUUGUCUUUCUAAGACAUUUCUAUACUUACCAAACUCAAUCGAUGCCAUGUUAUACCAAAAUAUGUAUAUAUAAACCAUUUUAACAAGAUUUUAUUGAUUUUAGUUUUUAAAAAUAGUUUUUUAUUAACCAUAUUUUAGUAAAGGGAAAAAGAGAAAUUCUUAUUAGUAAAUGUUUUCUAAAACAAAUGGAACCCAAAACUCUAAAUGUGCUUUAGAAAUUUUUUGGAAAACCAAAACCUGUUUUCUAAAAGGUUGAAAGAAAGAUAAUAAACAAAAUCUUGUGAGAUCCUUCUAUAUGAAUAUCAUAAAUAUAAAUGAAAAUGAAAAUGAAUAAAAUUACACAAUAUAGCAUGACUUAUCUGUAUAUAUUUGAAAUAUAAUAUUCUUUUAUAAGUGUUAUUACAAUUUAAAGUUAUAUCAAGUAUAUAUAUUUUUUCAUAUUAGGUUAAUUCAUUUUAUUAUAUUUUAUAAAUAGAUUUAAACUUUUUCUUGCAUUAUUUUAAAAUAAAAUUAGAGUAAAGGAAAUGUAAAAUAUAUGAACAAAUUUAAUUUUAGUGUUUUUAUUUGAUUAAGAAAUAAACAAGAAAUAAAAUUUUAUACUUUUUAUUUUUAAAAACGAAUUUUCAUUUUGCUCAACCGAAAGCCUUUUCAAAGUGAUCAUUGUCAAGAGUAUGGGCAACCAAAGGCAGCUAGAGGUUUAGUUGUAGUGUGUAGCAUGUGCAAAGACUUUGAAUUCAAGCCAUAAACGUGCACUACCUCUCUCUCCCUUAGUUGCAUUUGUCAUGUUCUCUUGUGAUGAUCUCCUUUAGAUGCUUAGACCCUUUGGGUCACGUGAACUAGUGGCAAGAAAAAUGAAUUGAUUUCAUGAUGGAGAGUGUAGGGACCCCUCCCCUUGGGAAACACGUGGCACGCGGCUCAUGGUGACGCGUGGCACGUGCUGUCAGCCGGACCAUCAUCAUCCGGAUUCCCCUACAGAUACGUAUGGUGCGACUAUCCUAUCCGGAACCCCCCAAGGAAAGACAAACAACGUUUCAGCUUCUCCUAUCCAAGGAAGAGCAAACGACGCUGGCAGAACGUAGACACCCGGAUAGUCUCCACAAACACAUCCGGAUAUUCAGCAUGAUCCAUCCGGAUAUAAAUCGUCUGGAUGGUCAAUUAAAGUAAAGCGAGUCUUACACGCAAUCACAACAAGCAGCCAUGGCCCACAUCCCAUCACCUGCAGAAUGAGAAGACAAGAGGAAGUGACAGCAAGUCACUUCCCACGAUCAUUCUGCAUAAUCGCUUCCCACGAUCUCUGACAGCCGCAUCACCUACCAUGGUCUCUGACAGCCAUUCGUAGGAUGAUAGUGCUCCUACUAACACCUAUUGUCAUCAUCACAACAGAAAAUAUCUCCCCACCAUUAAUGAGAGGAACAGUACCCCUGAAGCUGUAUAUAUAUGACUUCACACGAAGAAGAAAGGGAUGAUCUCCCGGUAACCUCUUGACACCUAGUAAAAGGCCAACUGCCUCAUAUAUCUUAUUCUCUUAUCAUGGCUAACAACAUCAUCGGAGGGUGCAUCCGGACACCUUGUCCGGAUGCCUUUUUACAGGUACAACCACUGAAUCAAGAACCCCUUGUGUGUUGAGAAUCGCGUGUCCAUCCAUCUAGCAGCAACGCGGCCCACCUGAUACGCGAGGUGACAACAUUGGCGCCGUCUGUGGGAACCUUUUACUUUUUAUUUUGAUUCAGUCACUAGCAAAGAUGGCCACACCUUCCCAAAGUCGAUCAUCUGGUAGAGAGGAAGAAGAUAAUCACGAAUGGCGUCAAGCCAUCGAAAAAAGACAGUUGGCGAGCGAAAAACAGCUAAGAGCUCUCCUCCAGGAGACGGAGAGGUUAAGGGAAGAAAACGCUGUGUUACGCAUUCAAGCCUCAACAUCAAGACCUCCUCGUCGUCAGCGCUCAAAAGGUCAAGUGGCGAACUCAAGGCCAGAGCCAGAAUCAAUAUAUCCUGGGUCAACAGGAGCUGUCCCAGGAACAUACAACGCAAGGCCCCAUGAGCCACGCACACCCAUGCCUCGAGCUCCCCGUGAGGAAAGCUCAGAUUCCACUCAUUUCUCAGCAAAAAGACAACGUGAUAGAAAAUCACAGUUGUCAAGUUCUAUGCGCGCAAGACUAGACCCACAGGAGCCUGGGAGAUCAAGGCCACCAGUAGCCACAACUCGGGCGCCACGCCCCGAUCCUAUGAUUGCUCCCAUGGUGCAGAACGUACCUCCGCAUCGUGACCCCAUGGUCACCCCAGCGAUGCGGAACGUUCACUCACACCUAGCGGAACGAUCACUCACACCUAGCGGAACGACCAGCUGGGAGAAACCUCCCAAACGAGCCACCCAUUGGCUCCAUCAGCAAAAGGCUGGAUGACAUGCUCUCCACGCCCUUUUGCUCUCAUAUCACCCAUUACGAGCCCCCAAGAGGAUUUCUCGUACCAAAGUUUUCCACAUACGAUGGGACCAACGAUCCCUUCGAUCACAUCAUGCACUAUCGACAGCUUAUGACGCUCGAUAUUGGCAACGAUGCAUUAUUAUGCAAAGUAUUCCUUGCCAGCCUUCAAGGGCAGGCCCUUUCAUGGUUUCAUCGCCUACCUCCUAACUCUGUUGACAAUUUUAGGGACCUCUCUGAAGCAUUCGUGGGACAGUACUUAUGCUCUGCUCGACACAAGCAGAAUAUCAGCACCCUCCAGAACAUAAAAAUGAAAGACAACGAAUCCUUGAGGGAAUUUGUGAAACGAUUUGGCCAAGCCGUACUCCAAAUAGAGGUUUGCAGCAUGGACGCUGUCCUACAGAUCUUCAAAAGAAGCAUCUGUCCAGGCACCCCAUUUUUCGAAUCGCUGGCAAAAAAACCUCCUACAACGAUGGACGAUUUGUUCAGACGCGCUAACAAAUAUUCAAUGCUCGAAGAUGACGUACGUGCAGCCACUCAGCAAGUUUUGGUUGCCGGACGGGCUUCUAGAGAUAACGUGGACAGACAUGCCAAACCUCCGGACCGGCCAAAACCAAUUGACCGGAGGCAGGACGGGCCGAGUCGUCCGGAUAGGCCGUCCAUCACACCCCUAUCCAUAUCAUACGAAAAACUUCUCCCAAUGAUCCAAGGGUUGUCCGACUUCAGGUGGCCUAGACCCCUCGAAACGGACCCAUCUAUAAGAGACCGCAGCAAGAAAUGCGCCUUCCACAAAGACCAUGGUCAUACAACAAAGACAUGUCGGUCCCUCCAGUAUCUAGUUGAGAGGCUCAUCAAAGCAAGACAUUUAAAACAGUACCUCCCCUCAGAUACUGGAGGAAGGGACGCAUCACAGCAUCAUAACUCUGGGGCCCCGAGGGCCCCAGUCGCCCCCAAGGCUGUCAUAAACUAUAUCAACGGGGGCCCAUCUGACGAGGAAUACGAUUCCAGGCGGAAAAGACAGAAAUUGCUGCGAGCCGCGUCAAUACGCGAACGCAUUAAUUCCAUCCGGCCGGGUCUUACUGGGGAGGGCCCUCGCCCCAUUGAUGGGACAAUCAUUUUCCCACCAGUAGAUCCCACCCGAACGCUACAGCCACAUCGCGACGCCCUCAUCCUCUCUCUAGAAAUAGGAGAUUUUGAUGUAAGACGUAUCUUGGUUGAUCCAGGCAGUUCAGCCGAUCUAGUACAAGCAUCAGUCAUUGGCCAUAUGGGACAUAGUCCCGCGGGUCUCGAAAACCCCGGACGAAUCUUAUCCGGAUUCAACGGAUCAUCAACAACAUCCUUAGGAGACAUUAUACUGCCGAUUCGAGCUGGACCAGUCACUCUCAACGUGCAAUUCUCGGUGGUACAAGAGUUGUCACCCUUCAAUGUCAUCUUGGGACGCACAUGGCUUCACUACAUGAAAGCCAUCCCUUCCACAUAUCAUCAAAUGGUGAGUUUCCUCACCAACGAAGGGCAAACUGACUUGUAUGGCAGCCAGUUAGCCGCUCGCCAGUGCUACCAAAUAGCACGUGAAGCAGUCGCUAACCAGGAGGAUGCAUCUCCCCCUGAACCUAGCAUUGCGCACGACCAAUAGCAAUUAUUGGGUCCGGUGGACAAGGAUCCCCCGGUAGCAGAUCCCUUACAAACAAUCCAAAUCUCAGAAGAGAAUGAUCACCUCACAAACGUCAGUUCCCUCAUGACACAAGAAGAAACCCAGAGCAUACAAAAUAUCCUUCGAAGCAACCAUGACAUCUUCGCAUGGACACAUUCGGAUAUGAAGGGAAUUCAUCCCUCUAUCGCCUCUCACAAGCUUAACGUCCUUCCAGCAGCCAGACCCAUUCGACAGAAGAUUAGACGCUUUCACCCGGAUAGACAAAGAGUUAUCCAAGAUGAAAUUAACAAAUUGUUGGAAGCAGGAUUCAUCAGAGAGGUAUCUUAUCCGGAUUGGUUGGCAAAUGUAGUAGUGGUACCAAAGAAAGAGGGCAAAUGGCGAGUCUGUGUUGAUUACACCAAUCUCAAUAAUGCAUGCCCAAAAGACAGUUUUCCCUUACCACGGAUAGAUCAAAUUGUGGAUUCCACUUCCGGGCAAGGGAUGCUCUCUUUCUUGGAUGCCUUCUCCGGAUAUCACCAAAUUCCCAUGUCUCCGGAUGACGAAGAAAAAACAGCAUUCAUAACGCCACACGGCCUCUAUUGCUACAAAGUCAUGCCAUUCGGACUCAAAAACGCUGGCGCCACGUAUCAAAGAUUGAUGACUAAAAUCUUCAAACCUCUGAUAGGCCGCUCGGUCGAGGUAUACAUUGACGAUAUCGUGGUUAAAAGCAAAACUCGAGAGCAGCAUAUCCUCCAUCUACAAGAAGUAUUUUACCUCUUGCGAAAGUACGACAUGAAGCUAAAUCCUUCCAAAUGUGCCUUUGGCGUGAGUGCUGGCAAGUUUCUGGGAUUUAUGGUCAGCCAAAGAGGCAUAGAAGUCAGCCCGGAUCAAGUCAAAGCAGUCAUGGAGACACCUCCCCCCAGGAACAAAAAGGAGUUACAACGCCUCACAGGCAAGCUCGUUGCGUUAGGACGUUUUAUAGCCCGCUUCACUGAUGAGUUGCGACCCUUCUUCUUAGCGAUACGAAAAGCUGGAACCCAGGGAUGGACGGACAAUUGCCAAAACGCGUUGGAAAGAAUUAAACAUUGUCUUAUGCAUCCACCCAUCUUGAGCAGCCCCAUCCCAAAGGAAAAGCUAUAUAUGUAUUUAGCUGUCUCAGAAUGGGCAAUCAGCACCGCUCUAUUCCGCUGCCCUUCACCAAAGGAGCAGAAACCUGUCUACUAUGUCAGCAGGGCAUUGGCAGAUGUAGAAACCAGGUAUUCAAAAAUGGAGCUAACAGCCUUAGCUCUUCGAAGUGCUGCCCAAAAGCUCCGCCCCUAUUUUCAAGCCCACCCAGUGAUUGUACUGACCGAUCAACCCCUUCGCAGCAUUCUACACAAACCAGAUUUAACUGGGCGAAUGCUACAAUGGGCCAUCGAAUUGAGCGAAUUUGGAAUCGAAUUCCAACCCAGAUUAUCCAAAAAAGGCCAAGUAAUGGCCGACUUUGUGCUCGAAUAUUCACGAAGACCCAACCAGCACCACGAAUCAAGUGAACAGGAGUGGUGGACACUACGAGUUGACGGAGCCUCGCGCUCAUCAGGCUCUGGAGUUGGGCUCGUAUUACAGUCCCCAACUAGGGAACAUCUGGAGCAAACCAUCCGGUUGGGAUUCUCCGCGUCUAACAAUGAGGCAGAAUACGAGGCCAUCCUGUCCGGAUUGGACCUCGCCCUUGCUCUAUCUGUCUCCAAACUCCGGAUCUACAGCGACUCGCAACUAGUGGUAAGGCACAUCCAGAAAGAAUAUGAGGCUAAGGACUCACGCAUGGCGCGAUACUUGGCCAAAGUAAGAAGCACCUUACAGCAAUUCACCGAGUGGACAAUCGAAAAAAUUAAGCGAGCUGACAAUAGGCACGCUGACGCUUUGGCCGGCAUAGCUGCCUCUCUACCUAUCAAAGAAGCCAUUCUAUUGCCCAUAUAUGUGCAAGCCAAUCCCUCUGUCGCAGAAAAUUCCACUUGCAACACCAUUGAGGCAACCCAAACGGAUAAUCAAGAAUGGACGCAGGAUAUUGCAGAAUAUAUCCGGACAGGCACUUUACCCAAAGAUCUUAAACAAGCACACAAAAUCCGGGUGCAGGCUGCCCGCUUCACCCUGAUCGGGGGANNNNNNNNNNNNNNNNNNNNNNNNNNNNNNNNNNNNNNNNNNNNNNNNNNNNNNNNNNNNNNNNNNNNNNNNNNNNNNNNNNNNNNNNNNNNNNNNNNNNNNNNNNNNNNNNNNNNNNNNNNNNNNNNNNNNNNNNNNNNNNNNNNNNNNNNNNNNNNNNNNNNNNNNNNNNNNNNNNNNNNNNNNNNNNNNNNNNNNNNNNNNNNNNNNNNNNNNNNNNNNNNNNNNNNNNNNNNNNNNNNNNNNNNNNNNNNNNNNNNNNNNNNNNNNNNNNNNNNNNNNNNNNNNNNNNNNNNNNNNNNNNNNNNNNNNNNNNNNNNNNNNNNNNNNNNNNNNNNNNNNNNNNNNNNNNNNNNNNNNNNNNNNNNNNNNNNNNNNNNNNNNNNNGAGUCCGGACUGUAGAUCGCGCGUCAAACGCGGCUUCUUGAGGGGAGGCCCUUUCACCAGGACUAUAGCCAGGCGAUCCGGGUCGUCGGAAGGCUGACUUUGGCUUUCUGCUCCCGCUUCCUCCAACGGGGCCGUUUCAGCUGCAUCAGCAUCCGGAUUAAGGUUGCCCGGACGGUUGAUAGAUGCAGCUUCCUCAGCCACGUUAGCCAGACGCGCAGCCGCGACCAAGGAAGGACCUGAGUGAUUCAACCCCGACAUGCGUCCGGGGCCGCUUGAGAUAGAGUGCGGAGCAGCAUUUACUGGCUCCUCUAUCAUUACUUCCCCCUCAUAGGUAGUUUGGGGAGGAGGAAACUGCUUGGGAGGAGUGGGUUCCUUCAUGUCCUUCCCAUGCUUCUUCACCAGCUUCCCCCUUUUUCCUGAAGUUUUCUUUGGAGGAGAGUCCGGACCCCGCUUCUGUCCGGGAGCCUUCCGGAUAGUGCCUUCAGUUUUUUUCUGAUCUCUAUCCUCCAGGAGCUUUCGCCGCCUUUCAGCGUCAGCCUCUUUGGCUUCCUGACAGAGGGGGAGCUCCUUCACAGUAUAAUGCUCCCCAGGCACUAUCUCAUCCUUUGCCAAUUUCCUAGGAAGAAUAUUGAUAACAUAUUCCUGGGGCUCCCGGACGACCUCCGUCAAAUUCCGCGCGGAAAGCAAUGUUUUGUAGGCCCUCUCCUUGGGGUCUAUUUCAAAUAAUUUGCAGACGCAGGCAAAGGACGCCUUUUCCACCCAAUCCACAAGGUGGCCCCUCAAUUCCAAACCUGCAUUGUCAGCAACAAAGGGUGAGAAUUCUGUCCGGAAAAAUCAGAAAAAAUCAGCAAAGCAAAAUCCGAAUAAAAAAUCGCAAAACAAGAUUACCCGGGAUUUGUAAGGUAUAAUUCGGAGAAAAAGGCCUCGACGGAUGCUGCGAUAGCCCCGCCCAUCCACCCCAGACUGCCACCAGCCCCUUCGCCCCUCCCUUUGUCGAAUCUGGCAGUUCUGUCACCAUUUGAAGGGAGGGCAGGUGAGCGGACACACUGAAGAUAUCAUUCUUUGCUUUCUUCAGGGAAUAGACAAAGAACAAUUCCAGUAGCGUAAGGUCGAGGCUGUACAGCAUGUUGAUAAUGCUGCAUCCCAUCAGCACCCGGACAAGGUUGGGAUGAAUGAAGAUGGGUGGAAUCUGAGAGAAGUGGAGGAAUUCCUUGAACAAGGCUGGCAGAGGGAACCGGAGCCCCGCGUUGAAUUGUUCCUUUGUGAAGAGGAUAGCGUUUUUUCCACCUUUCUCAGUAGGAAUAGCCGCCUCCUCGUUCACCAGGUCUAUCAAUACGUCAUGGGGGAUGCGGAAUCGCUCCCGGAACUCCUUCGCAUUUANNNNNNNNNNNNNNNNNNNNNNNNNNNNNNNNNNNNNNNNNNNNNNNNNNNNNNNNNNNNNNNNNNNNNNNNNNNNNNNNNNNNNNNNNNNNNNNNNNNNAAUCUGGCAGUUCUGUCACCAUUUGAAGGGAGGGCAGGUGAGCGGACACACUGAAGAUAUCAUUCUUUGCUUUCUUCAGGGAAUAGACAAAGAACAAUUCCAGUAGCGUAAGGUCGAGGCUGUACAGCAUGUUGAUAAUGCUGCAUCCCAUCAGCACCCGGACAAGGUUGGGAUGAAUGAAGAUGGGUGGAAUCUGAGAGAAGUGGAGGAAUUCCUUGAACAAGGCUGGCAGAGGGAACCGGAGCCCCGCGUUGAAUUGUUCCUUUGUGAAGAGGAUAGCGUUUUUUCCACCUUUCUCAGUAGGAAUAGCCGCCUCCUCGUUCACCAGGUCUAUCAAUACGUCAUGGGGGAUGCGGAAUCGCUCCCGGAACUCCUUCGCAUUUAGUUUAUCUAUCGCCUUUUCGCCAGCCUCGCUGACCCGGACAGACGAAACAGUCUUUUUUGGAGUCAUUUCUUACCACAAAGCCAAAGCAAAAUCUACACGCAAAAACAAUGCAAACGGUCCAGACCAAGCAAUCAGAAAAUACACAAACUCAAAGCAGUCAGAAAAACCCCUCAAAAACCCCUCCAAACAAACAACAAAGUACCAACAUUAAACAAACAAUUGCAAGCGACUUGUUCAAAACAAAGCCAGGAACCAAGUUUAAAGAACCGGCAAACGCAACCAAAGGAAUGACAAUAGCAAAGAGGUACGUACCAAAUAGAGCUCUGGAGAAGAAAAACGGUUACUCUCUCGGUAUAAAAUCACCGGCAACAAACAAACGAGGUCGUUCGAAGUUUUUCUCAGAAAAGCAAAGGACGCAGAAAAAGUAAGAAGAAGGAAGGCUCUCAAGAGAAUGCAGUAGAAAAAAUACAAAAAGAGGUACAGUGCCCUAUUUAUAGCAGGACAGCCCCUCGGAAAGCCAAACCAACAGCCGUGUUAUCAUUGAAACGACAUAUUGCCUGGGGAUACACAGGGUCGGCGGCUCGCCAUAAAUGCCUUUUUUGGCUUUCGCACCCCCACUCGCCACGUGGCUAAGUUAGACGAAUGGACUUUUUCAAUUUUCAAAAACCCAGUUAUUUUUAACCCGCCCAUUUUUUGGCAAAAUAAGCAAGUUAAAAAGGGGGGCAAUGUAGGGACCCCUCCCCUUGGGAAACACGUGGCACGCGGCUCAUGGUGACGCGUGGCACGUGCUGUCAGCCGGACCAUCAUCAUCCGGAUUCCCCUACAGAUACGUAUGGUGCGACUAUCCUAUCCGGAACCCCCCAAGGAAAGACAAACAACGUUUCAGCUUCUCCUAUCCAAGGAAGAGCAAACGACGCUGGCAGAACGUAGACACCCGGAUAGUCUCCACAAACACAUCCGGAUAUUCAGCAUGAUCCAUCCGGAUAUAAAUCGUCUGGAUGGUCAAUUAAAGUAAAGCGAGUCUUACACGCAAUCACAACAAACAGCCAUGGCCCACAUCCCAUCACCUGCAGAAUGAGAAGACAAGAGGAAGUGACAGCAAGUCACUUCCCACGAUCAUUCUGCAUAAUCGCUUCCCACGAUCUCUGACAGCCGCAUCACCUACCAUGGUCUCUGACAGCCAUUCGUAGGAUGAUAGUGCUCCUACUAACACCUAUUGUCAUCAUCACAACAGAAAAUAUCUCCCCACCAUUAAUGAGAGGAACAGUACCCCUGAAGCUGUAUAUAUAUGACUUCACACGAAGAAGAAAGGGAUGAUCUCCCGGUAACCUCUUGACACCUAGUAAAAGGCCAACUGCCUCAUAUAUCUUAUUCUCUUACCAUGGCUAACAACAUCAUCGGAGGGUGCAUCCGGACACCCUGUCCGGAUGCCUUUUUGCAGGUACAACCACUGAAUCAAGAACCCCUUGUGUGUUGAGAAUCGCGUGUCCAUCCAUCUAGCAGCAACGCGGCCCACCUGAUACGCGAGGUGACAACAGAGAGGUCAUCAUGCUCAUCCUAGUGCCAAUUAACUCAAAACAACUAAGGAUAAUUCUAUGAUGGGGUAAUUAUCGAACAAGGUGAUAUUACAUGAUAAGAAAAAGGUUUAUUUGAUAUCUCAAUAUAAUUUGAUAUUUAGGUUGCUUAAAAAGAUUAAAAUGAGAUUGAAGAAUGAUCCGUCAUUUUCGAAUUGUGUGGCGGGUCGAGUGUGGGGAACAUCAUCCUAAGAGUAAAGCCACGCCAGAGAGAAGUCCCACUGGCACUGAAAUCAAGGCAACUAGAAGAAAAGGCUUCAGUUACGUCGUCAACCGAAAGAGUUGAAGUGAAGCCAUCCAGAUGAGGCAUUAACUGCAAAGAAAAAACAAAACAUGUGGCUGCUUAAUUUCUUGAUAUGGUGGAGCCGCAUGAGGGCAUGAGUUGAGUAUAUAAGUGGAUGCAAGCUUCAUUCCUUGACCAUUAAGCCUCUUUGGGUUACUGAAUACUGAGAGUAGAACCAAAUUGCAAUGGCAAAUUCACCUGUAGUGUGGUUAGCAUCCGUGUGGCUUGUGUCCAAUAUAUUGUCCCUUCCAUUCCUGGAAUUGGGUAUAUCUUCUUGUGGUGGCUCAUGUCAAACACUUAAUGACUGUGAAGGUCAGCUCAUGCAUCGAUGGUAAAUGUAACGACGAUCCCGAGGUCGGGACUCACAUAAAUGGAGGAAGUUCAAUUACCCCUCCACCUCCACCUCCCGGUACCUGCCAGCCCUCCGGAACUCUUGCGUGCAAUGGUGGAAAACCCAAAAAUACCUACACAUGCUCUCCUCCGGUCACCUCCUCCACGCCUGCCGUUCUAACUAACAAUAAUUUUGAAAAAGGAGGGGACGGUGGAGGCCCAUCCACUUGCGACAACAAAUACCAUGACAAUUCAGAGCGCAUCGUAGCAUUGUCAACUGGGUGGUAUAAUGGGGGAUCCCAGUGUGGAAAGAUGAUUAGGAUAACGACUCAAAAUGGGAGGAGCGUGUCACAGUGGUGGAUGAGUGUGACUCCAAAUCUUUAUGAUUAAUGUUUUCCGUGAUGCCCCAAUUACUAAUACAUGCAGUUACUUCGUCAACGCAACAUAUAUCAUGUGAACAUUACUAUACUAUCUGCCUACAAGAUACUGUUGGCAGUACGUACGUACCAACCAAUUAGUAUCUCUAGGAUUCUCAUAGUAUUAAUUAUCUAUUCCAAUCUACUCAUUUUCAUCGAAAUAACUAUAAUUAAAAUAUCUGCAAACAUUUUAGGAAAAUAGAUAUGCAUACCUAUGGGUCUUUUGGACUUAAAACUUACCACAGUACAGAUAUAUCAAAGCUUUGUCAAGUGUUGUGGUAGUAGAACAUAUAACUGUAAACCAAAGACUUUAUACGACUACUCGGAUACAUUUGUACAUGUCUAUGAAUUCACACACUUAUUGCCCUAUGGAUAUCCCAACUAUCAUGAGAAUUAAUUGUAGAGUACGUAGGUCUCAAUCUCUUAGGAUGGCCCCAGUUCCACACUCAUUCAGGUAAUUAUCAAAAAUUUUCCUGCCAACCAUCCUAACUUUAUAGCUUAUAGACUAAUUAAGACUUUCCACUCCGGCUCUAUAGCACUACAUGAAAGUCGUAAUGUAAAGACAUCCCAGAUGAAGUGUGGCACAAAUAAUGAGGAGGAAGAAAAAUCGUAAUGAACAGAAAGCCCAAUAACUAGCAGGGAAAGCCAAUGACUCCCAAGCACCACGUGUAUUAUGCGCACAAGCGGAAAUAAUUUGGAGAAAAUUUAGAUUUGCACGUGUAUCAUGUGUUGAAAGUCAAAAUUAUGUUUGGGUAAAGGACCAAUAUGACCCAAAAUCUAGAUUUGCACCCUUGACACUUUUAAAAUAGAACCCUACAUUUCAAACCUAUUAUAUAUAUACCAUUUGGAAAUAAAAUACCUAAAUAAAAGGGAUCCGAUGAUCAAAUGGCCCCUUUGUAAAUCAAUGAGAGAUGAAGAUGCUCAAAAAUCUUCAUAAAUAAUUGAAAUUUUUUGUUCCAUCAUUUCUAGAUACAAAAAUGGGUUUAUGGAUUUAAAGAGUGUUUUUCAAGGGGAAAGCCCCUUGACCUUAUUGCCUAUGGCCUCUUUUAUAAGCAUUCUUCCCAUGCAGAUGUAUUGUAAAUCUUGUGAAGGAGCAGACUUUUUCUAUAAGCUUUAACUUUUGGGUGAAUGAGGAUAAGAGCAGUUGAAUUUGUCUUUUCAAGCACAAGUUGGUCAAUCAUGUCAACUUGUAAGAAGAUCUUCCCUUUUUAUGAUCUUUAUUUUGGGGUAAGGUAAAUUUGUAUCUUUUCAAAUAAGUGUUGUAUGACUGCAAAUGAGACUUUUUAAAAACUAUAAGUUUUAGAGUAAACUUGUGUUGUUCAUUUGGAAUUAGGUUCUUUAAUCAAAUUGGGUGAAUGGUGCUACCUCUUUACUCGAGAUGGCCUCAGGGUUGGGUGGCUGAAGAUUAGUAUUUCAAGAUGGCUUGUUUAUUGUUCACUUCAAGAGACAAGAAAGAACUCAUUCCUACAAGGUUGCUUCGCCCUACCAAAGAAUUGUUGCUUCUUCAAUAAAUAUUCCUUCUCUGCGGGAAGGCUCCACUUUUAUAGUUCUUAAUUCAUGCAUCAUUAUUACAAAAGUUGCAGCCGAGGGAUUGUGUACAUAAACUAUGGUCUAUGAAGACAGCCAUAUCAAUGCCUUGAUAGUGUGAAAUUUAGCUUUCUUUCGAGUAAUUUAUUUCCCCCCCUUUUAUAGGUAGAGGGUGGAGCAAGAUAGGCGGAUGAUCAAAAAUCGACUAGUGCAAAUUGAAUUGAAAGGAGUCCAAUUGGGGUUGGCCCAGCAAUUUGAUUGUGUGGAACUCUACCAAGAAAUAGCACAUGAUAUAACGUCACAAAAGAGGAGAACGAUUAGUUCUGGAUUGAGUUAUCAUAAUUUCGUGCAGAGCCAAGUUUCAUCCACCCAUCACGCAUGCCCGGAAAAAAAACAAAAAAUCUGAGGAGCUACACUAAAUGCCUCCUCAAUAGAGCAGGUUGACCCGUAGCCAAUGCCCACAAGUUAAUGGCCAAGUUGAAGAAAUUAAAGGUGCCCCGCUAUGUGGACCAAUUGCAUUUAGCACUCAUUACUUCCUGAGCCAGACAACAGCUUGGAGUGGAUUCAGUAUCAAUAUAAGCAGCCUCUUCCUUAGGCCUCAUCCAAAACAUUCCAAACCGCUGGGCCAAUUUACCUUAUUGAAGGUGGCUCCAAUGGCAAAUUUAGCACUGUUGCUAGCAUCUCUGUGUCUUCUCUCCAACAUUUUCUCCCUCCCAUUCCUUGCAUUUGCUAUAUCCUCCUGUGGUGGCCCAUGUCAAACCCUUAACGACUGUGAGGGUCAGCUCAUAUGCGUCAGUGGUAAAUGUAAUGAUGAUCCAGACGUCGGGACUCACAUUUGUCAAACCCCAUCACCAUCCCCUCCAAGCGGCUCUAACUGUCAAGCCUCCGGCACUCUUACGUGCGGGGGAAUAUCCUAUCCCACCUACAGAUGCUCCCCUCGGGUUACAUCCUCCACACCUGCCAAACUCACAAACAAUGACUUUAGCGAAGGCGGGGACGGUGGAGGCGCGUCGGAGUGUGAUGAGCAGUACCAUAGCAACUCGGAGCGUAUUGUCGCCCUGUCAACCGGGUGGUACAAUGGCGGAUCGCGAUGUGGAAAGAUGAUCAGGAUUACGGCACAAAAUGGGAGGAGUGUGGUGGCCAAGGUGGUGGAUGAGUGUGACUCCAUGAGGGGGUGUGACCAAGAGCAUGCAUACCAGCCUCCUUGUAAGAAUAACAUAGUUGAUGGAUCUGAUGCUGUGUGGAGUGCUCUGGGGCUGGAUAAGGACAUAGGUGUAGUGGAUGUUACCUGGACCAUGGCUUAGGUACGUUAGCUUUAGUGCUUGUAGCCACCUAAUAAACGGCGUUACGUACCGAGCUUCAAUGCCUAAUUACUGGCUGUGUUGUAUCGACACAUUAAUAUGAAGUAAAUAAAUGGUCAAGAUUUUAAAAAGUAUUUUUAGUAUUUUUAAAACUUAAAUAAUAAAAAAAAUUAAUAAAAAUAUUAAAAGUCAUUUAAACGGACUCUAAUUUUAUGUUGUGAGAUCACUUCCUUGACUAGCUUUAUUAAAUUAGUAGGCAACUUGACCUACCUAGCUAACUUAUAUUCGACAUCAUCGUUGUUAGCCUCUUUAAUGACACAAUUAAUUAGACUAGAAAAUCAAAAUUGAUAAUAAUUCACUGAAAAACCAUUAAGGAAAUUGGAGUCGAUUUUUAGAAAAUUAUCCUUGUGAUAUACCUUUAUGAAUGACUCUCAUAAGAUACUCCCUCUAAUAGGAAUCAACAAAUGUUUUUAGAAAGAUUAGUAAUUCAACAAAAAUGACCUAUAUGGUAACAAUGGAAAAGUCCCACCACGUUCCUAUAGUUGGUUUGGCAAUAUCAUCCUUUUAAUUACUACAGCCCCAUUUGGAUUGUAGCUACCUCAAUUCAAUUCCAUUCACGGUUGCUUUUGAAUUGAAUAAGAAGAUCAAAAUUCUUUACUUAUCUCACUUGAUUGCUCUAAAGUUUGGAUUAAGAUUUUUUAGUAAAGUUAAUUUAAAAUUUAUUCUAAAUUAUAAAAUUUUAAUAUAUUUACCUUCAUUAAUUUUAACUAAUACUUUUCUCAUUAAUUUUAACUCAUAUUUAUUUUCAUUAAUUUUAAAUAAUAAAUUUAUUUGUAAAACAUCUAGAUUUAAAGUACAAAUGAAUAACAUAACUAUAAAAUAUUUAUUGUAAAAAAUAAGUUAUGGAUGUUUAAAGUAUGGAACUAUCAUUCUAAAAUACACUCAUUGUUUUAAAAAAAUUGAGAUUAAAAAUAAAUUAAUCAUUUUAACUCAAUACUUAAAGUAAAAAAUAAUUUUAAAUUAUAAUAUUAAGUUAUUCUACCCGACAUACUUAAUGAUUUAAAUUAAGUUAUUAAGUCAUUAAAUUGAUUUAAUAACACCCUUUUAAGAGUAGAGAGAAAAUGUUGACUUCCUUUUACUAAAAUUUUCCAUUGCUUCGUCGUAAUUCAUAUUCAAGUUGGCUAUGUGAAGAAAAGAGGCGCUUACAAUAGGACAUUUUCCUAGCUAGAUAACAGAAUGGACUAUCUUGCAUUGGGUUGGACAAAGAGCCAAUACAUAAACCCAAGCCCAAGCCCAAUUAACGUUGGAUUGGGUUGGAAACCUACUGAACUAGCUAUUGGGCUUAAUAUGAAUGUGGCCUGGGCCCCGAUUUAGGCAUCUAUAAUAUGAAAUACAAAUAAUUGCCUUUAUGCAUGUCACUUCAGAUAAAAGAAAAUAAGUUCCUAGGAAGCAUGGAAAUAUUUGCUUGCACACCGGUCUGAUUUCUAAAAAUUGCCGGAAAAAGAUAAAAUGCAAUGUGAAAAUGAAAGAAUAAAGUAGAAAUAAGUAAAUUUUUUAAGUUUGAUUUUUUUCCCUUUAUUCACUUUUAUUAAUUUUUUAAAUACAAAUUAUAAAAAUACACAAAAUAAAAUCAAAUAUAGUUGAAAACUUGAAAUUAGUUAAAAUUUUAAAAUAAUAAACUAUAAAAUAAUUUUCAAUUAUUUUCAACAUUAAGACUAUUUGAGAAUUCAAAUAUCGGAAUCUCAAUAAAAAUAGUAACUACUUAUAAAUAAUUAGUAGUUUCAAUUAUGGUUCUAAAUAUUAUAUAAAAAGUAAUUAAAAAUACUUAAAAUUUAAUACUAAAAAUAAAUUUCUUUUUUAUUAAAAGGUUUUUGAGUUAAAAAAAAUUAUUAAGAAAAUAGAAAACUGUUUUUUGAAAACAAUUUUCGAACAGGGAAUUUUUUUUCUGCUGUCUUUUAGAAUUUUUGAGACUCCGAGGUCGUCCAAUGACUAGUAAAUUUUCUUGCUCUCACAAAGGGAAGUAAAAGAAGUAGCCCAUCAAGGAGGAAAAAAAAAACACGAAAAUGGGGGCAGGUGUAAUAAUGAUAUAGAAAUGCAAGCAUUAAAUGUGUCUACCCAAAGUCCAAAGACGUCGAGAGAAGAUUUUGUAAGUAGUAAUAAUUACAAGAGCAGACUUGAGCAGUGGCGAACAAUGAUUUCAGAAGUGGGAGUGCAUAUAUGGCAUAUUAUUAGGAUUUGUAAGUGAAAUUUUUUUCUAUUUUUGUUGUUUGACCUUUCUGAGUGGUGGUGGAUGUCUAUGUCUGCCCACUCCUCAGUUCUGAAUUUGGGUUUGUAAUUGUCCCUCAUCACCCAAUUAUGGCUUCCACAUUCACAAUACCCAACAUGCUUAUUAAGCUUUCAACUCGGGUAUUCUUACUUGUUUCAACUUUUUUGCUUAAGGCAAUUUCCUUUUGGAUUUCGGAUUAUUUAUUAUUUUAUCAUUAUUUUAAAAAAAUUAUUGAAUAAAAAAUAUUACAAUAAUUUUUUUGAUAUUAAAAAUAACAUAUUAAAUUUUUUUAUUGUUUAAUACUUAAUAUUGUUUAGUUAUAGUUAAGUUAAAAAAAAAAAAAAAAACUCCACCUUAUAGAAAAUUAGAACACAUUUAAAUUACUGUUUUUUUAUUAUUGUUGUGAAAAUUGUUGAGCUAAGUUUGUUCAAUCUAUCACUAUGUAUUAAGCUAUUUUAUAUUUUGGUAUUCUCUACGCUUAAAUAUAUAAUAUAUAUGUGUAUAUAUAGUAUUAAGUUUUUUUUAUCACGUGAGAAAUGUGAUUGAAAAAAUGAAAUAAAAUUAGGUUUUUUUUUAAUAUUGUUUUAGAGCUCAAGGGCGAAAUUAAUGUUCAUUUAUAGACCUUUUUGUGAAAUCUUAUGCGAUAUGUUUUAUCUCUAUUUCUUUUUUAUCAAUGUUCGUGAUAAAUUUUCACAUCAAAUAUCAAGAUAUUUAUAUAAAUUUUCAAGUUGAAAAAAAUUUAAUUAUUAUAUUCUCAUUUUAUUGAAGUAGAAAAAAAAAUUUCGUGGGUUUUUAUAUUUUGAGGGUUUUUUCAUGUUAUAUUUUGUGUCCAAUUUUUGGUUAAAUGUUAUUGUCAUUCUUGAUUAUUUUUUAGAUUGUUAUAAUUAUUGAGUAGAAUAUAAUAUCAAUUCACAUUUGGUAGAUGUGUGUUGGUAUUCUAUAUUAGAUGAUAAAUAACUUAUAACAUGUAGUGUAAUAAUAAUUAGGGCAAAUUGAAUCUUAUUUGGUCUAAUAUGAUUAACUUUUCGGAUUGACAUAUUUAUAAUUUAAUGAACUUAUUUUCUUAAAAUAUAAUUUUAAAUGAAUAAAAUAUUAGUUAAAUAUAUUAUUAUUAUAAUCAAGUUAAUUCAUGUUAAACACAUCCAUUCAAGUUAGUUUUUUUUUCUUAUUUAUUAAAGUUUUAAAAUUAUUUUUUAGUAUAAAAAACUUUAUUAAUAUAAAAAUUAAAUCAUAUUUUUAUUAAUAUUUUGAUUUCUCUCUAUUUAUUGUAUUUUCAUUUCUAUUUGUGGCCCGCCAAAAUAGAGAUAAGGAAAAAACUAAAAAGGGGUGGUGAAAGAAUAUUAUGAUAUGAGGCGGUGUAGAGUAGACCAUCCCGAGGUAAUUGAGUUGUGUGGAUACGAAAGAAGGGGCGUGUGAGAGAACAGAGACAUAAAUAUUCCGAUUUUGCGCAAGGGGCCCCACUUGUAAUAGAUGCCUUCUUCAUAUCAUAUCAUAUGAUGAGGGGAAGGUCAAGUGUAUGAACGGUCAAUGUGAUGGGGUCAAGCAUUUGUGAAAUUUUCAAUCCUCUAUAAAGUAUAAACUACACCACCAAUCACACCCUCUUAUUCUCAACACAUCCACAACCAAACACACCCUCACCGUCAUCAUCAUCAUCAUCAUCAUCAUAUUACUUACCAUUUUACUACAUCACCAUGCUACAUGCACCCACUUCCUUUUCACCUUGGGUUCUUUUUUACCCAUGGCAACAUUGAUUUACAUGUGAAAAAGUAACCAUUUUCUUUGAGAGAGAGAGGACUUUAGCUAAAUAUGGCCAUUAGAAUCAAUUGGAUGGGAGGAAGAGGACUUUUGGUAAAUGUGACCAUUGGAAUCCAUCUCCAACUAGAAACACCACCCACCCCCUCAUCAGCUACCAAAGUUGGUCCGUUGAAUAAAAUCUUUUGUGAAGAAUCCAUGGGUGAUCGGGUCAUUUCAACCGUAUUUUUCUUCUCAUGAGUCAUAAUUAACACAACCUGACCGAUCACUGUUUUUCACUUGUAACAGAUGUGUCACGCAGCCAAGAAAAGGGUGCCAUUAUUAAUUUAUGAACGUAAGAUAGCUUCAUUUUCUCUGCGACCAAACAGUGUGAAAUGACAGUUUUCGUUAUUUAUUUUAUUUUGAAGAAAAAAGAGGCGGUGAGCCGUGAGUGGCACAGAGGUUAUUACCUGGAAAAUCAAGUGCGGAAAUAAAAGCGAAAAGACCACCGUAAAUGACCUAACGAAGAAAAGAAAAAUAAAGUACUUAGAAGCAGAGCGGUAGAGGGGGAGGGGAGCGAGUUGAUAGAGUUCCUAGGGCUUCUGUAUUGAGGUGAUGUGAUGACGUCAUCACACCAUGUUCAAGGCCCUGUGUUGAAGUGAUGUGAUGACGUCAUCACACCAUGGCCGUCGUCAGGGCUGGAUUGUUCCUUUUGCUGUCUUUUAUUUUUUCAAAUUUUAAAUUUCUUUUUUCUUAAUUGUUUAUUGCCUUUUGAGAGGGGCUCUUCAGGCUGUCAUAUUGUUAAGGUCACCAUCCGUGACGUCGACGUCCCUCAGGGCUCCUGUAAUGCCCUUUUGCUUUGCCAUUUAUUACACAGAUUGCCAUAGGUAUCCCUGGAUUAGGGAGUUAUUGCAUAUCUGGAUCAUUAAAUACAUGGAUCUCCUUGCACUUAGCCGAGGGAACCGACAAAAUUUGUCAGAUUUCGACUGUUUUUUAUCAUCUCGUUUUUUGUUAAGGAAAAAGCUAUUUACUACUUACUAAAAAAAUACAAAUUGGAAUAAAACAUUAUGUAAAUUUAAAGAAUAAAAAUAUAAAAAUAAUAAUAAAAAUAUUUCUAAUAAAAUAUUUUAAAGAAUAAAAAAUAUUUUAUUUUUAAUUUCAAUAUUAAUAAAAUAUUAAGAAUAAAAAUAAAAAAGAAAAAUCUAAGAGAAGAAAGAAUGAAAGAAAAUAAAAAAUAGAUUUAAAUUUAAUAAAUUAUUUUUAUAUAUUUAUUUAAAUUUAUUUAUUAUUAAAUAAUUUUAAAAUAUAUAAAUUUUAAAUUAAUUUUAAUUAUAUUUGUUUUUUUUAUAUUUUUUUAUAAUAAAAUCAAAUAUAAAAAAAAUAUUUUUUUUUUCCUUUUUUUAGAUAACCAAGCUUAAGCUAGACGAAGUGACUACUCUCUUUAAAUAUAUGAUUGGAUUGUUAUUAAAGAGAAGCAAAUUUUGCAACGGUCCUCAUAUUGAGAUCAGAUGAUGAUUAGUCAUGUAUCAACAUGCGACAUGGGAGAAUAUUUUUAUAAGCAAAAAAAAAAAAGAAAAAAGGAAAAAAAAGAGUGGGAAGCUGGCAAAUGCCACCUCAUCCAUAAACCCAUGGAUGGUAGUAUCGAAAUUAAUGAUAAUAAUUAAGGCCCUUUGUUUAACGGAGGAAUGUGGUGGCUUUUUAUUGGAAAGAAAAGCGAGCGAUUUUUCAUUCACGAGCUUGACAUUUUUGGACGUUAAAUCUAACGUCGACGUCAAGUUAGAGUCUUAAAAAAGCUAAGCUCGGUUAGCCGUUAAAGCUAACGGCAAUUAUCUUCCAUUCGCAAUUAUUGGUCUCGUCCUUUGCUCGUUUUUCUGCUCUCAAGCUUUCGUCGGAUUAUCGCCGGAACUCCACCGGAAUCUUACUGGGAGAGCUACUGCCACGAGCUGUAAUAGGUUGUUUUCAAGAUUAGGAUCUGAUCCAUGUCAGUACUCAGAGGUAAUGAACUACGCGAACUUGGUCACAGAAACUACAAAAUUUUCUCGCUCUUUUUUCUUGAAGUGAUAUGCAGGAAAUGAUUUUUCAUGGAAUAUUUGUUUUUCGUUUGGUUUGUUUGUUGGUUUUUGCUCUGAAUUAUGAAACUUUUGAAUUAAACUCUUGUUCUUUAUGGCUUUAUUCAAAACUUUCUGUAAAAAAAUCAUAGCUCUAGAGCAGGUAUGUGGAUAUGGGUUUUAUCUGUUGUUGGGAUUUUUUCACCUGGAUCUGUUUUGAAGUUUUAAGAUUCUAUAUGAUGAAUUGAGGGGCGGAGGUUUGAUGCUGUUUAUAAUUGAAAUUAGGGUUUCAGUGGGUGAAGUGAAGUAAGUUAUUGUAGAUGUUUUUCUAUGCCGGGUCGUAGUUGAUUGGCUUGUUGCCUUUUAUUUACGUUUAGUUUUGAUGUGGAGGUUUCCUUUUCGGUUUAUGGUGAAUGCUGGGUUUGGUCGAUAUUGGAGGUUACCAACAGUGGAAAAUUUCAGAUGGUGAAUACUGAGUUUGGUCGAUAUUGGAGCUUGCCAACCGCGGAAAUUUUCAGAUGGAGUGUCUGAAAAUGAUGUUACUUGGUUGGUAGCGUUCUAGACUUUGGAAAUAACAUCACCAGUGAACUGAAGGAAGAGAAGAAAGUGAACUCUCUCUACAGUGUGUGUCUCUGCGUGGGUUGUGGUGAAGGUAGACUUUGGAAAUAACAUCACCAGUGAACUGAAGGAAGAGAAGAAAGUGAACUCUCUCUACAGUGUGUGUCUCUGCGUGGGUUGUGGUGAAGGUGGUGAAUCUGGUGAUGUUACUUUGAGAAGAUUUUUCGUCCACGUUGUGUUGUCUUCGUUUUGUCUAUCAAGGUCCAUGUGACCUCCCACAACUAUCACUCUCUGGUGAAUUUUUCCCACAUGGAUUCCUGUUCAUUUCAUUCAUUUCUUAUCAUGUUUUUCUGCUAUCCUACGUUACUAUUUGCUCUCUCUCUCUCUCUCUCUCUCUCUCUCUCCCCUUUUCUUUCCCUUUCUCUCCCUCUAUUUCUAUCUCUCUUGUGCGUUUGUGGAUGUGCGUCUGAACGAUUAUAUUUAAUGUUUCGUUAUGUUUCUGUCUAUAGACGGGUACUUAUUCGUCUGUGAUUAUCUCAUUCAUUGCAAGCUUCAUAUUUGGCUUUUAAGUUUUUAACUUCGACUGAACAGCAGGAAAUGCAUAGGAUGAUAUAUCUAGUUGAUGGGUUGUGAUAGAGUUCUCUCCUCAAACCAUGUGCUGGGUGAGUUUUAGUGGUGGCAGGUUGCAGUAAGGCCUUCAGUUGUGAACCCAAGAAACGCUAGCUAAGAUCUUUUUUGGAUGGAGAUGAGGAACUUUAGACCUGAAUCGCAUGUAGCACAGCAAAGCCGGCGUGAUAAGCUUAGAGUUCAACAUCAAAGUUCAACCCCAGCUCACCAUUUGGAGGAGUUCCCUAACAGUUUGGAACAAUUAUCGGUCCAUCCAGAACUAAACCCAGAUCUUAUUCAAGUUCGGAAUGUUAGGAACGGCAAUGUGCUUUAUGAUCCUAUUGUGCUCUCCUCGGAAAUGCUCAAUUUUUCAUCGAAUUCUCAUGUGUUUUUGGGUAGCAAGGAUGCAAUGGUGGGGCAAGAUUCGAAUGCAGUCUCUCAGGAUGCUUCAUUCCCCAAUUUGUCUCACCCAAUUUCAUCUAAAGCAGCUGGUGACCCACAAAACUGUGACAAUUGGAAAGGCCUUGGUACACAGCAAAGCUGUGAUUGGAUUGUGAAUUAUGCUAAUGGAACGGUGGCUAGUGAAAGCAAUCAAAACCCUAUGUAUGUCGGGGAAGUCUUGUCAGCCAGCUCUAUGAAGGUAAACAACAUUUCUGCAUCUUCACUCGAUUUGAAGCCUAAUUACAGUGGAUAUCAGGAUGUGCAGUCAUCGAUAACCAAUCCAUCCAGUGAAAUUUCUAGUCAAGAUAGCCAGAAGCAUUAUGGUGAAAUCCAUUUCAAUUCUCCUCAACUCUACCGAAACACGCUCCAAGAGGUUGUUACUUCAGCUGCAGUUGGAACCCAGGGGCUAGAAAUGGCAUCCUUUGCGCAUCAGAACAUUAGGGACACUGGCCGUGAUUCAUGGGAAGAUGGUGGGAAUGAACUUGUUCUUCUUCCAAACUUUGGAAAUCAGUCUAGUGCUCUCCGUCUUGAUUCUUCUGUUGCUUGGAUGACUAGGCCAGUAGAGGGUUGCCAUCAGUGGAGUGGUGGUGAUUUGGGUGUUCUUGCAAACAAGAGUCUUGGAGACUUGAGUACCAUUGCAAGUGAUUCUAACGCACAAGGUCUGUCACUUUCCCUUUCAUCACAUCCUUCAUCCAAAAUACAGGUAGCUCAGUUUGGGGAGAGAUAUGAGUCGAAGGAUCUACGUUCUGGAACUGCAGCUUUCAGUUGCCCACAAGAUUUGAAAGUUAUGAGCUCUGGUUAUUUAUGUUCGGAUUCAAAGCCACCUGUUAGUGGUAAAGGGUAUGGAAAUUCCCUUCACGACAUAGUGGGGACUUCUACUUACACUCAUAGGAGUGCUGGCCCUCUUGGGCCAUUCACUGGGUAUGCAACAAUUUUAAAGAGUUCAAAAUUUUUGAAGCCAGCACAACAGGUCCUGGAUGAAUUUUGUAAAGCAGCAAGUCCCAAACUGGUGAAAACAUGUGAGGUAACUCGGAGGACAUCUGGAGAUGUUAGUGUUUCAGUUCCUGAUGCGGUUAACACAUCUGACACUGAGGUUGGAGCUGCCAAGGGUGGCAAUUCAGCUGUCUCGUCCUCCACAUUUUAUGAUUCAAAUGAAAUUAGUGAAGGGGGAGUUAAGAGCAGCUCCUGUGAAUCGUAUAGGCCUGACUACCAACAAAAGAAGGCAAAGCUCUUGUUUAUGCAGGAGGAGGUAUGUUUUGUCCAUUUCUCAUGCCUUGUGCUUCCAUAAUUUAGGUAAAGUGCUUGAGUACACAAUGAACUUAUAUCAAUGUGUUAUAACAAGUAAUAAGACAUGGAAAUUAUUUGUUGUGUUCGUUGAAAUUAGAUUUCAAAAACCUACCACUUGUGUGUUAUAGCACAUUUACACUUUUUUUUUCUUAAAUAGAGGGAAACCAGCCUCUCAGUGACCAGCUUAAACAACUAAUCAGUGGAAAUUUUUUAGAACUUUAGCAAUGGUUGUUUUGGAUGGUGGAUCAAACCAAUAUAUGCUUAUCUUCAGUUUAGAGGUGGUUCAAGCUAUGUGAGGAUUCUGUUUAUUUUUGCCUAUUCCACUACAAAAACUUGUAGCCUCGUGUUUCUGCAAGGAUUGGUAAAAAUGCUUCUUUGCUGGAUGAUCAUUGUUUGUGUGGGGCCCCAUUAGCAAGGACCAUCCAAACAGUCAAUACAUGUUCAGAAAAUAUUCCAACACUGUUGAAAUUGAUUGUAGGAGGAGGUAUUUCAAUGCAAGUCCCAAAACAUGUAGGGUCAAUUCAAAACAAAAUUCAAGGAAAUUAAAUGAUUCACGUUUUAUGCAAUUUAAUGCAAUGACAUUGGAAAGGGGUUGAAAUAGUAGAGAAGAUAUUAGUGGCAUAUUAUUGAAGUGAAGCAAUCAUCUAAAGAUUUGGUGCAGUGAUGAAAGUGAAUUGGGUGGCAAUGCCAUUUGAUAAAGGGAUAAGGCUAGGCAGAAAUAUUUCCAAGAGAUCAAGUUCAGAAUUGUUUAAUUAUUUCUUGUGGCUUAGAGCAAUGUAACAAAGAUGCGCAGAGCAUCCAAAAAUGUGGUAGGGCCUUCAAUAAUGAUGUCCCCAAGAUUUACAUAGUGAAAUUUUUUAGAAUGUUGGGGAGUUCAGCACCUUUCUAAUAAAAUGACAUGCUGAUGGAUUUUGAGGUAGUGUAAUGGCAAGAUAAGGAACCACAUAUAUGGUUAGAAACAAGUAAUAUUUAUGAGAUAUUAGUGUAGAUUGAUCUAGCUGUUAGGGGCAAGAUGAUAUAAAAUAGCUUGAGAUUGUUAAUACAUAUGCAAUGAAGAUCACUAACGCCAAAAUUAUUAGGCAACUAAUAAAAUAGCUUGAGAUUGUCAAUUUAUUUGGGACAAGAUGAUGAAAAAAUAGGUUAAGAUGGUUAAUGCAUAAGUGACUAAGAUGAGGAACUCUGAAAUGACAUUCUUUAGAUGAUCCUCUUAGGGCAAGGGGACGGCCCCAAAAUGAACAUGAAUCAAGGUAGUGAGAAAAGACAUGUUGGUUUAUGGUCUAACCAAUAGUAUGGCUUUAUUAGAUAGAAUAGAAUUUCAAAAUAGGAGUUGCAUAGCCAAAUCCUAAGUAGAUGGGAAAACACCUAUGUUGAAGUGAGUUUAGUUCCUGGGUUGCAUGAGUUUGUGAGCAGAUGUCAGCUGUAAAUUAGCACCUUGAAGUCACAUUCGUCCUAUUUCCAUGUCUUCUUCUAGUUUGCCAACCUAGAGUGUGUUUGGCAAUGUUUCUACUCGAAGUGUUGUUAGUGGAAGGAAGUGUUUUCUACAAGAAUCACUUAUUAAGUGUUUCUCCAAAAACUAAUAUAAGUGAUUUUUCAACACUAUAAGUUAUUUUUUAGAUUUUUAGAAGUAUUUAUAAGUGAUUUUUUAGAUUUUUAGAAGUAUUUCCUAAAUUUUUUCAAAUAGCAAUUUUUUUUUUUCAAAAACACUUUUAGACUGAAAGCAUUUUCUAUAAUCACUGCCGAACGGACUCUUAGUAUCAGUACAUGCCAUUUAAUUGAUCUUAUACCAGUGCGAUUUACAAGUGCUAUGGAUUAAAUAUGUAUCCGAACAUAUGUAGGGAAGACUGCAUUCAUGAUCAGCAUGUUACAAGUAUGUGUUCCUUGCCAUAGUACACUUGAUUUAUUUGGGUCCUCAAGUAUUUACAUUCAUAAUCUAAAUGUCUAAAAUGCCCCUUUGGCCUAAUGUAACUCUCAUUUCUAGGCUCUAGACAUUUCUUGAUCAGCAUUUUGGAAUUCUUAGAUUGAUUAUAUUAAUAUUAGGCUUGAUGUCAAGAAUUUGGCAUAAAAUAUGAAUUUCAAGCCCAUGUCAUUUGAUCUUGGGUUCUUGGAAAAUGCAUGAUACUGAGAUUCCUUGGUGUGUUAAUUAUGAAAUUGUUUCUUUAGGUUGCGUUUUCCAAUUAGAUGUACUGAUCAUGGAUGAGGCGUGAAACUAGGCACUGCAAUAGAAAAUGUAACAAGUGAACUCAAAUAGCUGUGAUUUCAAUGUCUGCAGUUUGAUUGCUUUUCCUGUGACAUAGCCCUGGGCCCUUUUUAACUCUUGCAUUCAUUCUUUAUUGUUUCUUUAUUUUUUUGGAGUCAAAUCUCAUGUUGGACUUGUUUGUCAGGUCUCAUGUAGGUACCACCACCACACAAGGUUGUAAAUAGCUCACUUGUCUUGUCAGUACCAAAGGGGGAAUUGAAUCAUAUCAGAAUUAAAUCAAAACCAAGCAAAUGCAACUGACUUAAUUGCCAUGGAGUUCGCCUCUGGCAUGGCCUCUAGUGCAAAUUUUCUUCAUGGCUACUUAAGCAUGGAAACAAAUUUGCAACACAAUUUUCAACUUGAUAACUCCAUAGGUUGUAUGUACUAAAAUAUCUAGAGCUCCAUAGGUUUAACCUUUUCCUUUUACAAAAGAAAAAUAUGACGCAAAUCAUUAUUGGUUGCAAUGUGGUAUUUAGGACUAUGGUCUAGCUGGUUUCUAAAUUUUUCACGUCUUGUCAUAGAUUAGACUUGUGAUGGGGGGGUUUUAAAUUUGGCUCUUAUUCAAUUAGAUCAUUUCAGAAACAUAUCCUUUCUAUCUGAAACUGAAUUUGCAAUAUGUCUGCCAUAUGUGAAAAUGAACUUGUCUAUUGUACUUAGUGAUGCGCCUGGAUAUAUUCCAACCAAUUUGAGAAUUUGAAUUCCCUAAGUAAUCUAGACACUUUCUUUCUAGUCUGGAUUUUUUUUUUCUGCACUUUGUUGCACUGGAACUGAUUUUACUCUCCAAGAAACGAGUCAUCUGUUUAAUAUUUCAUCAUGGGUUGAAGGGGAGCUUCUUAUUCCAUUCUAGCGUCUUAGUGUUGUUAAUGAUAAUGUAGGUCUUGAUCGUAACAAAGUUCAAGAAAAUUACAUGGUUGAUCUGUAAGCUAGGUUUGAACAAAUUAAUGAUGCAUGUGAUAAAUACCUUACUAGUUAGAUUAUAUUCACAGCAGCGGACGGAUCCUUUCAUGAUCUCAUUUUUCUUUGAUCUUGGAAAUGUUCCUACUCCAAGAUGAUUCUAAAAUUCUAGUUUGUUAACAAUAGAAAGCAGAAGCCUUCUAGUGCCUUGUUUAUUUCCAUACACUUUUUUUUUUUUCACUCAGUUGACUAGCUUUAUUUGAUCAAAGAAAAAGAGGAAUAGAACCUUGCAAUCCUAGAUGAUUAUUGGAGCUUUAAGCUUUGUGCUUUAGUUUGCUUUCCAGUUGGCUUUGGAAUUCAAUGGACGUUUUAAACGUUCCCAGGUAUCAUAAGUUUCUAGGUUGAAGAUUUAAAGGUCUGAUUAUGUCUUGAAUUCUUUUUAUGAGAUUUUUACUUUUUUUAAUUCUUUCUAUGUUCACUACUGGUAGAUUAGAUUUCCAGGUAUUGAAUUUCCAGGUUAUGUUGACUUUCCAAGGUAACUGUUGAUUCAAUGUUAUAUCUCAAAGGGCACAUUCCAAAUGACCAUUUUUCUAUGUGGUAAUCCUGAUGAGAUUUUGAUGCCACAAAAACUUCUGGUUUAGAAUAUACUGAAGUAAUUAUAACCUCUAUUUUGUUUCAUCUUUGGUAAGAGAGAACAUACUGAUUUUUGAAGAGACUUCAUGCUUUUUCCAGGUCUUAAUCAUCAUUAGUUGAUUUGAAAGGCAAAUAAAUAACUGGCUAUGGAGUUGGAGCUAAAUUCCAUGUAGCAAUAAAACAUAACUGUAGAUGCCCCACUUUCUCGUCAUUCAGAUCUUGUUGCUGGAAUCAGAGAUUAUAUGUGCAAUGUUGUGCCCCUUGCCCAAUCAAUUAUUAAUGGAAAAAUGUCAAGUAGAUUAUCCCAGUCUCUAUAGCACCACCAUGGCAAUUAGAUAUUCUCAAAUAACAGUGCACCCUUCUUUUUUAAUCACUUUAGCAAAGCAAAGUCCCAAGCCCAAUAAAUUGUCUUCUUGCAAUAUGUGAAGGCCCCAUUACAGGUUUAAAAGAAGAGCCUCUGUGGUUGUAGAGUUGCCAACAACACUUCAAAAAUUCUCAACCUUCCAGCUUGUUACUAUUGAUUUUUGGCAUAAGUUGGGACCGGUCAAUGAUUAUAGAGUAGUGUAGUUCAACAAGUAUCACUCAUCUAUAAUUGUUUUUUUUUUAUUAUUUUGCAUUAUUGUCGUAACAAUGGGAUGCAACUGGCGCGUUUGCUAUGAUUGGUUGAUCUUGAAUCCAUUGUUGAGAAAUAUCUGCUUCCAGGAUUUUAUCUUUAAUGCAUUAGUAAUUUGUCAUUCAUGGUGUUUGGUCAUGAAUUUUGUUAUUGGAAAAUCACAUUUUGGUGACACUGCUUCAUUGUGCUAUUGAAAGGUUUGCAGAAGGUACAAGCAAUAUCAUCAACAGAUGCAAAUGGUGGUUUCAUCCUUUGAAACUGUAGCAGGCCUCAGUGCUGCGACCCCCUACAUUGCCCUGGCUCUGAAAACAGUCUCGAGGCACUUUCGGUUCCUGAAGAAUGCCAUAUCAGACCAGCUUAGGCACAUAAGGAAAGCCUUGGGGGAGGAUUUGUCAUCCCCCAGCACUGGUGCCUGCACUAGUGCAGGGGAUGCAAGUUCACCAAGGUUAAAGUUCAUGAACCAAAGCUUUCCGAAACACAAACCUGGUGGGGCUAACCUGGGUUUCCUUGAACCCCAACAACACGUCUGGAGGCCCCAACGAGGCCUACCAGAAAGGGCGGUGGCUAUUCUUAGAGCUUGGCUGUUUGAGCAUUUCCUUCACCCGUUAGUCUCUCUCUCUCUCUCUAUUCUUCUCUCCCAUUUGAUUUUUGUACAUUGUUUUGUUACAUCAACUUUUUGGUUUUUGUUAGGUAUCCAACGGACACAGAUAAACAUAUGCUAGCCACUCAAACCGGUCUCUCUCGAAAUCAGGUAGGUCCAACACCUCGGUUAUCAUUUUAUUAAUAUAUUUAACUUUCUAACCUUGAGUUUGGUGACUGAAAUAGCACUUAUGUGACGUUUUCAAAUGGGCUGGCAUGUGGGUCAGAAUCCAUAAUAACACAUCUGCCUUCAUUUUAUGAUUAUUGAUUGAUGCAAUUCUACCUAACACCUGUCUAAUCUAGCUGGCAAGACAGUCUUCUCAUUUUGCCUCACAGAAAAUACCCUUUGCCCUGUCAUUAAUAUCAGAAAUGGCAUGCUAAAUUGGGGGAAUGUGAGUUUGAAGUAUUGUGCCAUUAUCGCUAUAUGAAAUUAAUCUGGUGAAGGUCGCCCAGCUGUCAUGCCAUGGCAUGAGAUUAUCAGUCUAUGGUUCCUGCUUGACAAUGUUUUGCAAUGAAAUGCAUGCCCGCAUAAUGUUUUUUUGUUAGGUGAUGAUAUUCAGUUGAUUAAUGCAGGU
rnacentral:lncRNA from 1 species